AUUGAACGCUGGCGGCAUGCUUUACACAUGCAAGUCGAACGGUAACAGGCCUUCGGGUGCUGACGAGUGGCGAACGGGUGAGUAAUGCAUCGGAACGUACCCAGAGGUGGGGGAUAACGCAGCGAAAGCUGUGCUAAUACCUCAUGUGAUCUGAGGAUGAAAGCGGGGGACCGCGCAGCAAUGUUUGGCCUCGCGCCUUUGGAGCGGCCGAUGUCGGAUUAGCUAGUUGGUGGGGUAAAGGCCUACCAAGGCGACGAUCCGUAGCUGGUCUGAGAGGACGACCGGCCACACUGGGACUGAGACACGGCCCAGACUCCUACGGGAGGCAGCAGUGGGGAAUUUUGGACAAUGGGCGCAAGCCUGAUCCAGCAAUGCCGCGUGCGGGAAGAAGGCCUUCGGGUUGUAAACCGCUUUUGGCAGGAACGAAACGGUGUCCGCUAAUACCGGGCGCUAAUGACGGUACCUGCAGAAUAAGCACCGGCUAACUACGUG
rnacentral:rRNA from 1 species